AGUUUGAUCCUGGCUCAGGACGAACGCUGGCGGCGUGCUUAACACAUGCAAGUCGAACGAUGAACCUCUUCGGAGGGGAUUAGUGGCGAACGGGUGAGUAACACGUGGGCAAUCUGCCCUGCACUCUGGGACAAGCCCUGGAAACGGGGUCUAAUACCGGAUAUGACGUGCGACCGCAUGGUCUGUACGUGGAAAGCUCCGGCGGUGCAGGAUGAGCCCGCGGCCUAUCAGCUUGUUGGUGGGGUGAUGGCCUACCAAGGCGACGACGGGUAGCCGGCCUGAGAGGGCGACCGGCCACACUGGGACUGAGACACGGCCCAGACUCCUACGGGAGGCAGCAGUGGGGAAUAUUGCACAAUGGGCGAAAGCCUGAUGCAGCGACGCCGCGUGAGGGAUGACGGCCUUCGGGUUGUAAACCUCUUUCAGCAGGGAAGAAGCGAAAGUGACGGUACCUGCAGAAGAAGCACCGGCUAACUACG
rnacentral:rRNA from 1 species